rnacentral:tRNA from 1 species
GGUAUGUAGCUCAGUGGCAAAGUGCUUUUCUAGCAUGUGUGAGGCCCUGGGUUCAACCCCCAAUACCA